rnacentral:misc_RNA from 1 species
UUUCUUAGAUCAAAUAAUAAUUAAAUUAAAAAAAAGAUAUUUUAUGGAAAGAAGCUUAUUUUAUUUUGAGGUUUUCAUGAAAUUUUCAUAAGGUUUUGGUGAUAGCUCUUUAAUUUUUUGUAUUUAGGUCCUUUGCCUUCUACUUCUAAGCUGAGUUAAAAGCUUGCAACAAGUUCAAGCUAGCAUGUGAACUGAGAUCAAACUAAGCUCAAGCUACUUUGAGAGGCCUAAACUGAGCUUGGUAGAGCUCAACCUAGAUGGAUUUUUAACCAAACCAAGCUUGAAGAGGCCAAAAGUCUACUAGGAGAGGCUCAUUUGCAAUCCAAUUUUGAAUUUUGCUAUUGAUUCUUUUCAGGUUAUGGUUACAGACAGGUAUUCCUCACAUUUGGUAAAUAAAUAGUAUCUAAAUCUUACUUCAAACGAGAAGAAUGGAUCUUAGAAGCUGGAAUAUGUUACAUAUCAGCCUGCACAAUUACUAAAACAGAAGAAUAGGGAG